rnacentral:rRNA from 1 species
CCUACGGGCGGCACAGCAGUGAGGAAUAUUGGUCAAUGGACGAGAGUCUGCACCAGACAAGUCGCGUGAAGGAUGACUGCCCUAUGGGUUGUAAACUUCUUUUAUAAAGGAAUAAAACGAGGCACGUGUGCCUUUUUGCAUGUACUUUAUGAAUAAGUAUCGGCUAACUCCGUGCCAGCAGCCGCGUUAAUACGGAGGAUCCGCGCGUUAUCCGGAUUUUUUGGGUUUAAAGGGUGCGUAGAUGGGUGUUUAAGUCAGUUGUGAAAGUUUGCGGCUCAACCGUAAAAUUGCAAUUGAUACUGGCAGUCUUGAGUACAGUUGAGGUAGGCGGAAGUCGUGGUGUAGCGGUGAAAUGCUUAGAUAUCACGAAGAACCCCGAUUGCGAAGGCAGCUUACUAAACUGUGACUGACAUUGAUGCUCGAAAGUGUGGGUAUCAAACAGGAUUAGAUACCCGGGUAGUC